AUUGAACGCUGGCGGCAGGCUUAACACAUGCAAGUCGAGCGGAGAGAGGUAGCUUGCUACUGAUCUUAGCGGCGGACGGGUGAGUAAUGCUUAGGAAUCUGCCUAUUAGUGGGGGACAACAUUUCGAAAGGAAUGCUAAUACCGCAUACGUCCUACGGGAGAAAGCAGGGGAUCUUCGGACCUUGCGCUAAUAGAUGAGCCUAAGUCGGAUUAGCUAGUUGGUGGGGUAAAGGCCUACCAAGGCGACGAUCUGUAGCGGGUCUGAGAGGAUGAUCCGCCACACUGGGACUGGGACACGGCCCAGACUCCUACGGGAGGUAGCAGUGGGGAAUAUUGGACAAUGGGCGGAAGCCUGAUCCAGCCAUGCCGCGUGUGUGAAGAAGGCCUUAUGGUUGUAAAGCACUUUAAGCGAGGAGGAGGCUACUUUAGUUAAUACCUAGAGAUAGUGGACGUUACUCGCAGAAUAAGCACCGGCUAACUCUGUGCCAGCCGCCGCAGUAACAC
rnacentral:rRNA from 1 species